UAGCCAUGGUGUUGGCACUGAUUCAACAAAUCCUUGAAUCUUUCCCAGACUUGAUAGAACGUUUCAUUAUCCUCUUGGGAAAAUGUGGAAACCUAACGUUUUAGAUU